rnacentral:tRNA from 2 species
AGUUCUUUGGCUGAGUCACAAGCAUAUGUUUUGAAAACAUACCACAGAUAAAUUAUCUAAGAACUU